rnacentral:tRNA from 1 species
GGCUUUAUAUUCAUGUAAGGUAUGAUAAUAGAAUGCAAUUCUAUAGGAGUAAAAUAUUUACUAAGGCUU